GAUGCUUAUAUGCAGUAGUCAUUAUAUGCGUGUACACACCGACGCCGUCGGACGGGUGAGUAAUGCCUGGGGAUCUGCCCCGUCGAGGGGGAUAACUACUGGAAACGGUCGCUAAUACCGCAUACGCCCUACGGGGGAAAGCAGGGGACCUUCGGGCCUUGCGCGAUUGGAUGAACCCAGGUGGGAUUAGCUAGUUGGUGAGGUAAUGGCUCACCAAGGCGACGAUCCCUAGCUGGUCUGAGAGGAUGAUCAGCCACACUGCAACUGAAACACGGUCCAGACUCCUACGGGAGGCAGCAGUGGGGAAUAUUGCAUAAUGGGGGAAACCCUGAUGCCGCCAUGCCGCGUGUGUGAAGAAGGCCUUCGGGUUGUAAAGCACUUUCGGCGAGGAGGAAAGGUUGGUAGCUAAUAACUGCCAGCUGUGACGUUACUCGCAGAAGAAGACCGGCUAACUCCGUGCCAGCAGCCGCGGUAAUACGGAGGGUGCAGGCGUUAAUAGGAAUUACUGGGCGUAAAGCGCACGCAGGCGGUUGGAUAAGUUAGAUGUGAA
rnacentral:rRNA from 1 species